rnacentral:rRNA from 1 species
CCUACGGGAGGCAGCAGGGAGGAAUAUUGGGCAAUGGGCGCAAGCCUGACCCAGCAACGCCGCGUGGAGGAAGAAGGCCUUCGGGUUGUAAACUCCUUUUCUGGGGGAAGAGGCAGGACGGUACCCCAGGAAGAAGCACCGGCUGACUACGUGCCAGCAGCCGCGGUAAAACGUAGGGUGCGAGCGUUAUCCGGAUUUAUUGGGCGUAAAGGGCACGCAGGCGGUUCUGCAAGUCGGACGUGAAAGCCUCUGGCUUAACUGGGGGAGGUCGUUCGAGACUGCGGGACUGGAGGGCGGGAGAGGGGUGUGGAAUUCCCGGUGUAGGGGUGAAAUGCGUAGAGAUCGGGAGGAACACCAGUGGCGAAGGCGGCACCCGGGCCCGCACCUGACGCUGAGGUGCGAAAGCGUGGGAAGCGAACGGGAUUAGAUACCCCUGUAGU